UACAGAGGGGGCAAGCGUUGUUCGGAAUUACUGGGCGUAAAGGGCGCGUAGGCGGCCUUCUAAGUCGAACGUGAAAUCCCCGGGCUCAACCCGGGAACUGCGUCCGAUACUGGAAGGCUUGAAUCCGGGAGAGGGAUGCGGAAUUCCAGGUGUAGCGGUGAAAUGCGCAGAUAUCAGGAGGAACACCGGUGGCGAAGGCGGGUCUCUGGGCAGUAACUGACGCUGAGGAGCGAAAGCGUGGGGAGCGAACAGG
rnacentral:rRNA from 1 species